GAUGAACGCUGGCGGCGUGCUUAACACAUGCAAGUCGAACGAUGAACCUCACUUGUGGGGGGAUUAGUGGCGAACGGGUGAGUAACACGUGAGUAACCUGCCCUUGACUCUGGGAUAAGCCUGGGAAACCGGGUCUAAUACUGGAUACGACCUUCUGGCGCAUGCCAUGUUGGUGGAAAGCUUUUGUGGUUUUGGAUGGACUCGCGGCCUAUCAGCUUGUUGGUGGGGUAAUGGCCUACCAAGGCGACGACGGGUAGCCGGCCUGAGAGGGUGACCGGCCAGACUGGGACUGAGACAAGGGCGAGACUCCUACGGGAGGCAGCAGUGGGGAAUAUUGCACAAUGGGCGCAAGCCUGAUGCAGCGACGCCGCGUGAGGGAUGAAGGCCUUCGGGUUGUAAACCUCUUUCAGUAGGGAAGAAGCCGGCUUUUGGGUUGGUGACGGUACCUGCAGAAGAGGCGCCGGCUAACUACGUG
rnacentral:rRNA from 1 species